AUACAUGCAGUCGAGCGGACAGAAGGGAGCUUGCUCCCGGAUGUUAGCGGCGGACGGGUGAGUAACACGUGGGUAACCUGCCUGUAAGACUGGGAUAACUCCGGGAAACCGGAGCUAAUACCGGAUAGUUCCUUGAACCGCAUGGUUCAAGGAUGAAAGACGGUUUCGGCUGUCACUUACAGAUGGACCCGCGGCGCAUUAGCUAGUUGGUGGGGUAAUGGCUCACCAAGGCGACGAUGCGUAGCCGACCUGAGAGGGUGAUCGGCCACACUGGGACUGAGACACGGCCCAGACUCCUACGGGAGGCAGCAGUAGGGAAUCUUCCGCAAUGGACGAAAGUCUGACGGAGCAACGCCGCGUGAGUGAUGAAGGUUUUCGGAUCGUAAAGCUCUGUUGUUAGGGAAGAACAAGUGCGAGAGUAACUGCUCGCACCUUGACGGUACCUAACCAGAAAGCCACGGCUAACUACGUGCCAGCAGCCGCGGUAAUACGUAGGUGGCAAGCGUUGUCCGGAAUUAUUGGGCGUAAAGGGCUCGCAGGCGGUUUCUUAAGUCUGAUGUGAAAGCCCCCGGCUCAACCGGGGAGGGUCAUUGGAAACUGGGAAACUUGAGUGCAGAAGAGGAGAGUGGAAUUCCACGUGUAGCGGUGAAAUGCGUAGAGAUGUGGAGGAACACCAGUGGCGAAGGCGACUCUCUGGUCUGUAACUGACGCUGAGGAGCGAAAGCGUGGGGAGCGAACAGGAUUAGAUACC
rnacentral:rRNA from 1 species